rnacentral:lncRNA from 14 species
AAAUUGCAGGUGCUCUGUUUUCCCAACCGAGCUAACAUCUACAAACAGAGCAACUGCUGGGACCUUUGCCUCCGCUCCUAAAGGAGCCUUGCCUGCCCUCAGAAGCC